UGCACGGUGGUGCAGUUGGUAGCAUUGGGCCCGCCUUGCAGGAAGAAGGUCCUGGGUUCGACUCCCGGCCCGGGGUCUUUCUGCAU